GACGGAAGGUGCAAGCGUUGCUCGGAAUCACUGGGCGUAAAGGGUGCGUAGGCGGCCGCGCAAGUCUGGCGUGAAAGCCCCGGGCUCAGCCCGGGAAGGGCGCUCGAAACGGCGCGGCUCGAGUGCCGGAGGGGAGAGUGGAAUUCCGGGUGUAGUGGUGGAAUGCGUAGAGAUCCGGAGGAACACCAGCGGCGAAGGCGGCAUCCUGGACUGGUCCUGACACUCAUGAGCGAAAGCGUGGGGAGCGAUCCGG
rnacentral:rRNA from 1 species